CGUACAGUACAUCGACGUGUACUGGCGCCUUUUUUUGUUGUUGUCAGUUUGCCGUAAGUUCAUGAACUUGUACAGAAUGUAUUCAUAUUAUAUCAAUUUCAGCUUGCAAAGUCUGCAUUCAUGGACAUGACUGUGCAUGAACUUAAAAGUACCUUGUCGGGAUACAUCAUGAUGGAUCAGUAAAACUUUAUGUGGAUCGAGCCACCCGGGUCGAUGGCGUCUUCGAGAACUUGCCGAUGACGAUGGAAUAAACAAAUAGCUGUGGUACGAGAGGCUCCACUCCAGUGUGUCUCUUUCACAGCUCUAUUUGCUAAACCCUCGAGCACGACUGGAGACGAAUUGGUUCAUGUUGGUCAGACUCUGUUACGACGGCCAAUGUUGUUUCAGUGACUUGUACAUCAUCACCCGGAGAGUGUCGAAAUGGCAAUGGAGCGCUCAUUCGUGACGAUGUAUCAUGUUACAUUGAUCCCUUGUGCCGUUGGGUUAGGGUCCUUGAUCGUUUAAUCGACCCAAUACGAUCCGGAUAUUACCGGCUGAAGCGCAAGCUACAGCUUUCAAAGUCACGUUAUCGAUGAUGGUGAAACUUAAGUUCACUGGUGUCUCUUCCCUCCCAUCGCCCUAGUUUGACAUUUUAUUUGUCUCCGUUUUUCACGAAGGCUUUGCAGUUGCCCUUCCACGUCAUUCUCAUGGCCACGAGCGGGAACAGCGCAGUUUUUUUUUUUGUUUUUUUUUUUUUUAACGGUGAGAUGAUGCUUUGUCACGGGAUCCAGAUGCCCUCCCGGCGGGAGAAGCCCACCAUUUCAAAACUGACUGAUGAUGAGGAUACUUUCGGACAAUGUCACGCGCUAAUUCAGCCUUCGACUACUACUAUGCUGCUCCAUCCACGGUCCAGUGUGUGACAUUUAUCCUUGUCCUUAUUUUUUCGUCAAUCAUUUUAUUUGCCUUUCCUUGUAGGCUUACGCUAUUGAAGUGGAAUCAACCGGUUGCGUUUUCUCAAACUAGAAUAAGAUUUUUUUGGUCUAGUUUAAACGGUUCGGGAAAUUGAUAAUAGGAAAAAGAUGAUGCAGUAGCAAGGCGCAAUGACGUGAGCAGAUCGUGACCAAGCACGUGGCAAAUAGCGGCAGCAGAAGAUGAAGUGUCAUAAGGUGACAAUUCUCCAUUUCCGUUGACGUCAAACUUCUAAUUGUUAUUUACAAAUUGGGUACAACUUGGUGCAAGAAAAUUCUAACUUGGAUUAGCGUCUUAUUGAUAAGCUCAACGUAACGAAUCGACC